UACGUAGGGGGCAAGCGUUGUCCGGAAUCAUUGGGCGUAAAGCGCGUGUAGGCGGUUCGAUUAGUCUGCUGUGAAAGUCAGGGGCUCAACCCUUGAAUGCCGGUGGAUACUGUCGGGCUCGAGUCCGGAAGAGGCGAGUGGAAUUCCUGGUGUAGCGGUGAAAUGCGCAGAUAUCUGGAGGAAUACCGGUGGCGAAGGCGGCAUCCUGGACUGACAUUGACGCUGAGGAGCGAAAGCUAGGGGAGCAAACGGG
rnacentral:rRNA from 1 species